rnacentral:rRNA from 1 species
AUUGAACGCUAGCGGGAUGCUUUACACAUGCAAGUCGAACGGCAGCGCGGACUUCGGUCUGGCGGCGAGUGGCGAACGGGUGAGUAAUGUAUCGGAACGUGCCCAGUAGCGGGGGAUAACUACGCGAAAGCGUAGCUAAUACCGCAUACGCCCUACGGGGGAAAGCAGGGGAUCGUAAGACCUUGCACUAUUGGAGCGGCCGAUAUCGGAUUAGCUAGUUGGUGAGGUAACGGCUCACCAAGGCGACGAUCCGUAGCUGGUUUGAGAGGACGACCAGCCACACUGGAACUGAGACACGGCCCAGACUCCUACGGGAGGCAGCAGUGGGGAAUUUUGGACAAUGGGGGCAACCCUGAUCCAGCCAGCCCGCGUGUGCGAUGAAGGCCUUCGGGUUGUAAAGCACUUUUGGCAGGAAAGAAACGUCGCGGGCUAAUACCCCGUGGAACUGACGGUACCUGCAGAAUAAGCACCGGCUAACUACGU